UAAAACGACUGAUCUUCCUCGAAAUCAAUCAUUCAAAUCGUACGAUUUCGAUUCUCCGUAGCGAUGAAAUUACCCAUACUCGUGUCAUCGCGCACGCGUCUGUUGUUUCGCCCUUUCCCAACAGCGGUUCACCGUGAAAUCGAAGGGAGUAUAGGGUAUAGCGAGAACGAGAGCGUAGGGGAAAGGUGGGGAGGGUGUCGUCGCACGGUUCCCGAUUUCUAGCGGCAGUGGAGUAGUGCGCUGAUAAGAGCAGCGGCGGCGAACGGUGACGCGUGCGCGUUGCGGUGCGAUGCGCAUGCGCCUCGAGGUACACGGGUCGCUCCCGAUACGCGGAUAGUCGGAGUCGAGAGUUUACGAAAACGGGAUCCGACUGGGGGGGUUUUCGCUGCGUCGCGGGCCUCUCGCUUUCUGGCCUCGGUUUCCUCAGUGAAAAUGCCGCUGUGAUAGAGGCGCGCGCGGUGCCGUGUGCUCUGUCCGGGCUUGUCGCGCCCCUGCAACGAGCCAACAGUGUCAACUGUCCACACCAAAUUUUAUUGCGUUAGUGGUUCCACCGAUUCGCGACUGUUAUCUUCCCGGCGCUUUUCCCUCCCUCGCUGUCUCCUCUGUCUUUCUCUUUCGUUCUACUCUACUGCUUUUUCCACCUCGUGCAUUCUAUCCUUCUGGUUAUUCGCGCGUUUUUUUUACUAUCUCGCAAACCAUAGAUCGGUCGCGCUCUGUGUGUCCCCACCUUCACGAAACGAUACCGCAAGAUUUGACACUGGAAGAUCGUGACAGUGUAGAAGUGUCGCACGAGUUUCGUAAUCGUUUGUUAACGGAGUUGCACCGACGAUUCGAACAGUUUGUUCUAGACAAUUUUCUCUGGAAGGCAGUAAAGUUCUGUAGAUUCUGGUGACACAAAGAAUAUAACGCGCGAAAGCAUUUUUUACAUCCCACGGAAUUUUCUUCGAUACCGUGACAAUAGAGAGCGUUAAGUUACCCUUGACAUAUCUUUCCCUCGAUUUUCUUAGUAUCUCAAAAGACAUUCGACAGAAUUUAGAAUACGAUUUAAUGAAAUUAUUGGAAGAGGACUUUUGCAUUUAUCCUUGAUCUUUAUCACGCAAUCCCAACACUGACGAUGAAAUAAAGGCAUGGCGAACAGGCUGCAAUUCCUUUCAUUGAAAUAUGUACCUUUUUUUGUGUCGAAAGCAAUUUCAUUCUUCGAUUUCCACGGUAUGUAUUUUUCAUCACGGUUCUUGGAAUUUUAUCUUUUCGCUCGUUUUUUAAGCUCUAUAAUUUCCUGCGAAUGUCACGCUAUCUGUCGUGCAGGAUUUUUACGCUCUGUUGUAAAUGCAGAAAUACUUGUAUGAAAAUAAUUUCAAUGG